AUGAACGCUAGCUACAGGCUUAACACAUGCAAGUCGAGGGGCAGCAUGGUCUUAGCUUGCUAAGGCCGAUGGCGACCGGCGCACGGGUGAGUAACACGUAUCCAACCUGCCGUCUACUCUUGGACAGCCUUCUGAAAGGAAGAUUAAUACAAGAUGGCAUCAUGAGUCCGCAUGUUCACAUGAUUAAAGGUAUUCCGGUAGACGAUGGGGAUGCGUUCCAUUAGAUAGUAGGCGGGGUAACGGCCCACCUAGUCUUCGAUGGAUAGGGGUUCUGAGAGGAAGGUCCCCCACAUUGGAACUGAGACACGGUCCAAACUCCUACGGGAGGCAGCAGUGAGGAAUAUUGGUCAAUGGGCGAGAGCCUGAACCAGCCAAGUAGCGUGAAGGAUGACUGCCCUAUGGGUUGUAAACUUCUUUUAUAAAGGAAUAAAGUCGGGUAUGCAUACCCGUUUGCAUGUACUUUAUGAAUAAGGAUCGGCUAACUCCGUGCCAGCAGCCGCGGUAAUACGGAGGAUCCGAGCGUUAUCCGGAUUUAUUGGGUUUAAAGGGAGCGUAGAUGGAUGUUUAAGUCAGUUGUGAAAGUUUGCGGCUCAACCGUAAAAUUGCAGUUGAUACUGGAUAUCUUGAGUGCAGUUGAGGCAGGCGGAAUUCGUGGUGUAGCGGUGAAAUGCUUAGAUAUCACGAAGAACUCCGAUUGCGAAGGCAGCCUGCUAAGCUGCAACUGACAUUGAGGCUCGAAAGUGUGGGUAUCAAACAGGAUUAGAUACCCUGGUAGUCCACACGGUAAACGAUGAAUACUCGCUGUUUGCGAUAUACAGCAAGCGGCCAAGCGAAAGCGUUAAGUAUUCCACCUGGGGAGUACGCCGGCAACGGUGAAACUCAAAGGAAUUGACGGGGGCCCGCACAAGCAGUGGAGUAUGUGGUUUAAUUCGACGCAACGCGAAGAACCUUACCAGGGCUUGACAUAUAAGUGAAUAAUUAAGAGAUUAGUUAGCUCUUCGGAGCACUUAUACAGGUGGUGCAUGGUUGUCGUCAGCUCGUGCCGUGAGGUGUCGGCUUAAGUGCCAUAACGAGCGCAACCCUUGUUGUCAGUUACUAACAGGAUUUGCUGAGGACUCUGACAAGACUGCCAUCGUAAGAUGUGAGGAAGGUGGGGAUGACGUCAAAUCAGCACGGCCCUUACGUCCGGGGCUACACACGUGUUACAAUGGGGGGUACAGAGGGCCGCUACCACGCGAGUGGAUGCCAAUCCCCAAAACCUCUCUCAGUUCGGACUGGAGUCUGCAACCCGACUCCACGAAGCUGGAUUCGCUAGUAAUCGCGCAUCAGCCACGGCGCGGUGAAUACGUUCCCGGGCCUUGUACACACCGCCCGUCAAGCCAUGGGAGCCGGGGGUACCUGAAGUGCGUAACCGCGAGGAGCGCCCUAGGGUAAAACUGGUGACUGGGGCU
rnacentral:rRNA from 1 species